UACGAAGGGGGCUAGCGUUGUUCGGAAUUACUGGGCGUAAAGCGCACGUAGGCGGAUCGAUCAGUCAGGGGUGAAAUCCCAGGGCUCAACCCUGGAACUGCCUUUGAUACUGUCGAUCUGGAGUAUGGAAGAGGUGAGUGGAAUUCCGAGUGUAGAGGUGAAAUUCGUAGAUAUUCGGAGGAACACCAGUGGCGAAGGCGGCUCACUGGCCCGGAACUGACGCUGAAAUACGAAAGCGUGGGGAGCAAACAGG
rnacentral:rRNA from 1 species